CUACGGGUCGCAGCAGUGAGGAAUAUUGCACAAUGGGGGGAACCCUGAUGCAGCAACGCCGCGUGGAGGAUGACGCAUUUCGGUGUGUAAACUCCUUUUAUAUGUCAAGAAAAUGACGGUAGCAUAUGAAUAAGCACCGGCUAACUCCGUGCCAGCAGCCGCGGUAAUACGGAGGGGCAAGCGUUACUCGGAAUCACUGGGCGUAAAGGACGCGUAGGCGGGUUGGAAAGUCAGGUGUGAAAUCCUACAGCUUAACUGUAGAACUGCACUUGAAACUUCUAAUCUAGAGUAUGGGAGGGGGAGAUGGAAUGAGUGGUGUAGGGGUAAAAUCCGUAGAUAUCACUAGGAAUACCUAAAGCGAAGGCGAUCUCCUGGAACAUUACUGACGCUAAGGCGUGAAAGCGUGGGGAGCAAACAGGAUUAGAUACCCGCGUAGUC
rnacentral:rRNA from 1 species